rnacentral:lncRNA from 1 species
UUUUUUUUUUUUUUUUAUAAUUUUUUUAAAAUUUAUUUAUGAUAGGCACACAGUGAGAGAGAGAGAGGCAGAGACACAGGCAGAGGGAGAAGCAGGCUCCAUGCACCGGGAGCCCGAUGUGGGAUUCGAUCCCAGGUCUCCAGGAUCGCGCCCUGGGUCAAAGGCAGGCACCAAACCGCUGCGCCACCCAGGGAUCCCUUGGCAUUGGCUUUCCAAGUGUGGUCCUAGCCCAGGGGCAGUGCAGCAUCUGGCAGCCUGUUAGGAAUGCAAAUUUUCUGCCCACCGUCACCCUCCCACCUGCCCAAACUCUUUUUUAUUUUUUAAAGAUUUUAUUUAUUUAUUCAUGAGAGACAGAGAGAGAGAGAGGCAGAGACACAGGCAGAGGGAGAAGCAGGCUCCAUGCAGGGAGCCCGACGUGGGACUCGAUCCCGGGUCUCCAGGAUCACACCCUGGGCUGAAGGUGGCGCUAAACUGCCAAGCCACCCAGGCUGCCCCCAAACUCUUGAAUCAGACAUUCUGGAGGUGGGCCCCAGCACCCUUUCUAGAAGCCAGAGGCAAUUCUGACACACAGAAAGAGAACCACCAAGGUGAGGGAUCCUCAGCCACCAUCCUGGGUUUGCUGAACUAAUCUGAUUAGCGGGGUUUUCCAAGCAGGAAGGGAGCGGGGCCCAUUUGAGGUUGCCCACUUCACUGGUGUCUUGUAGAGCUAACUUCCAUGGUUGUGCUGAAGCAUCACUAAGUGACACGAAGUGAGCUCAUUCAGAAAGCCUCCCCGGCAGCCUGAAGCCUCAUCUCUACUGCCAAGGUGGAACACAAAAUGCACCACGGAGCAGCCAGGCCGCUCUCCUCCAAAGGACACUCCUGUCCCAAAAUCCUUUCCCUGCUUCUGCUCCCCGGCCAGCAAGCAGCUAGAGUUUAACAGAGUGUCCCUGUCUCCCUAUGUCCCUACCAAGCACUUGGCCAUCUCAGAGACCCUCCUCCAAGUCCCCACACUUUCUGCAGGCUACCCAGGGCUAAGCCUCCAGCGUCCUGGGUCCUGCAGCAGAACUGGGAGUGGGGACCCUUCCCAGCACCACUCCAGACUCCCAGAAUCUGAACCUCUGGGAAUCCUGCUUUUGAACAAGUCUCUGGUAACUCUUAUCAUCGGCAAUCUGAAAAGCAGUGAGCACACAUUCCUUAUUUGUCGGACGGGGAAACUGAGGCUCGGUCAGGGACUCAACAUUCCCUGAACUUUCCUGCCCACAGAGCACUUCCUCCUCAUCCAGGCCCCCACAGCACUCACAGCCUAGAUCCCAUCCCCAGUUCUAACACACAUUACCCUACACUUCCCGUCUAAGCAGCACCUGCUCAGCCCUGCCCCUCCCCCACUGAGCUGCAAGGGUCUGGAGGCAGAGCCCUCUGUCUCCCCUCAGUCCUUAGUGCUCCGUGCUGGGCACACGGGAGCCUCAAAAACUGUCUGAGGAGGAACAAGCCCCCAGCUAGCCCGCACUCUUGCAUUAGCAUAUGCCCUGGGAUCGAUCCACCACAUUGCCAGAUUGUCACCUUGAAACACCCUGGAAGGUGUGUCCCAUGGGGACAUGAGAACAUACACAUUCUGAUGUGAGGCAAACAGCCACCUGCAGAACAGGUGGAGAGGGGGCAGAGGCUGGGUGGGGCCUGAGGGAGUGUCACAAUGACACACUUCACCUUCUUGCUAAUUCUGCUCAGACCCAACCCCCUGAGAAACACAGCUGGGAAACGGGACACAGAGCUCACACUUCCCCACUUCGGCCUCUCUAGAGCCCCGAUACUGACACAUAGAAAAGGUGACAAUGAGACAGAGACAAAGAAGAGCUCCAAGGAGAAACAAGCCUGCUGGGUCUGUGGGUCAUGGGCCCAGGGAAUCCUCGCCGGGUCCCCCGGAUGGUGCCAUCCACCUACCUGGCCUUCCCCAGUGGCACAAAAGGUGACUGCCAAAAUGAGGAGCUUUCGGGGCUCCAGAAAGGUCUUACCAAUGUUCAAACAUCGCUCCGCCCACCCUGACCCGGCUCUCCCCACCUCCCAGGAUUUGGCAGGCAGGCUGUAAAACGAAGAACUCCGAAAUCUCAGGGGCCCAACACAUCAAGAGUGGGUUUCACGUUCCCAGUAGGUGUCCAGUGAUGCUCCAACCUGUUCGUGUUCCUAUGGCCCUAAGCAACUGGCGCACUGUUUGCAUUUUUGUUACACAGCACAGCUCUUCCAGACAAAGAACCAACCUCUGUGCCAGCCGGAUGGGCUAGGUUGUGCCUCAGUAACCGUGACCGGCCACCACACUGUGCCUGUGGCAGCCACUCGGGGUUCAAGCUGAUGCAGUGGCCAGCAUCUUGAACGGGGCCCACGGUCCUGCCAGCUUGGCGGGGCCCUGGGCUGCCACCUGGAAGUGAAACCCAGCACACCCCUCGCCACCCACUGGCCAGAACUCGUCUCGUGGCCCCAGCCCACAAUGAUGAGUACAGGAAGGAGCAACCCUGCCAAGGGCCAGAGGACACAGCUCCUGGAAAUGCACACCCGCAGCCACCCGGCACUGAGGCGCACAACGUUCCUCCAGCAGAGCUUCAUCCCCUUCCCUCCCCUGUGAUGGCCAAACUGCCUCCCCUUAUUUGUCAUUUUCACCCUGGGAUGAAGGGAAGCUUUCAGAUCAGGGAACCAGGAAGACGAUCAAAACAGGAUUUUCAAAGAAAAUGACAGGGGACAUUAUUACAAUGUAGAACAUUACAGUCUUACAAUAUAUAACAACAUCCUCGUGUAUAAUGUUACACGUUUUUCGAUAGAACAGGAAGUUCAAAGUAAAGGUUUUAGUGUAAUGGCAAAGUGACAGUUGUGAGCUGCCCCUGGGCGGGGGGUGAGAAGGCGGAACGCACAAAGGGAAAUUUCAAGAAUGAAUGUAACAAACGCCGGACCUUCGGACCUUCCAUCAGAUCGAUGGUAUAAAAGGAGGCCAGAGAAGGCCUGGCCUGCCAGUUUGGCCCCCUGAAAACCAAUCAAAAGCUGACGGCAUCCGUUCUACAAGGAUGCUUUGUGACUUCAACAAACCAUCCUUUCCCUUCUGCCCAAACACAGCAAGGUGGGAGAGGACUGGAAAGGAAGCCACGGGUGGUGUGAAACAAGAACAAAAAAAAUCAUAUGGGCUGAGGUGGGGUGGGGGAGGGGCAGAGCGAGGCCAGAGACCAGGGACCACUGCCUUUCUAGGGUGCUUGUCAGGAAAGGGAUUUAUACCCAGGAAAAAAGAAUCCAGAAAAGCACACAGGACACUGGAGCUUCUCCCUGGCUCAGAGCUAGAGUGUUCUGGCUCCUUCCACAGGCCCAACCACAGCAUCUUGGGAUGUGUAUGUAUCUAGAAUUUGUCUCGAGUGGAUCCUCUAUGAAGGAAGCUCCUGUAGUCUGCCGAGAUCAGAACACAGCAAUCUGGAAAUCUCAAGACUCUAGCUAACUGUGAAUUAGCAACACAGCCCAUGUGAGGCUAUUUUUCCAAGCAAUGGAAUACAGGAACAAUAUGAAGCUAAAUGGACCCUUCCUUGAGCAUCUAGAAGUCACUGUGGCCCAUCACAACACUUCAAGUUAUCCCUUGCAGAUCAGUCAAUUCAAUUCUACAAACAUUUGUUGAGUCCCAAUUCUGCACCCAGCUCUACUCAGUUGAGGAUGAGAGCUUGAAAGAGACAGCCCCAGCCAUGAACCCUUCUCUCAAUGACCUCCCAGGUCCUGGGGAGACAAAAGCUUACAUGCCUCACACAGCAUGAGGUGAGCUCUAAAAGCAGCAUAUAGGAGCCACAGUGGCCCUAGAGCAAGGCGAGGAAAGGGAUUGGCACAGAGGAGCCAGGAGAAGCUUCUUGAGGGAUCUGGCCUUGAGCUGAGAUUUAUUCAAUGAGCCCUUCUCCAGCAUGUGGUUGGGGUCAUGGCGGACAGGGAGGGUCUGAGAAGUGAUGUUAGAGAAUGUCGCAGAGCCACAACUCACCAUGACAUGGGGAAUGAACGUAAACGUAGAAAAAGGAGUUGGAGGAGAUGAGCCUGGAGACACAUGGCAGGGGCCAGGUCACAUAGGGCUUUGUAUUGGACUUGACGCUGGGGAGCAGAGGGAGCCUGGAGAAGGAGGUCAGGACUCCUUAAGAGGCUGGACCGCUGGCCCUGGUGCCAGAUGAGGGAUUGCAGCGAGGCUGUGGUUGUGGGCUCUGAAAGGAGGCUAUAGGUCUGAGAAACACGUCAAAGUGGAAACCCCAGGACCGAACAGUCAGGCAAAGGUCAGGAUGAGAGGGCGAGGGAGGACAAAGAGCCUGCUGAGGAAGGACAGCGUCACGAAGGGCGUGGUCCAUAGGACACCCACUGCAGAGACCUCGGGUAGACACAGAUGCAGCAGCUGGUUGGCCAUGGGACACUGGGGGCCUCUGCCUAGGCAAGGGUGAGAGGGGUGAGGACAAGGGAGGCCUCCAGAUGAGUUCCACGUUCCAGAAGCCUGGUUAUAGGGCAGGGGUAGCAGGAUGGGAGCUAGAUGGAGGUCACAGGUGUGCCUGAUUUUUCCUGUCAGAGAGAGGAGCCUGUUUCUGUCCUGAGGGGAAGAAGCUGGUGGAGGGUGAUGGAAUUUGAAAAUGGGAGCCGGGGGCAGGGGCUGGUCAAGGGUGCCAGGAGCAGAUGAGGUCUGGAAUGCACAUGGUGGGCAUGAGACCAGGAAUUUGGGACAUCUGGUCUCCUCGUGUCAGGCCAAGCUCCUCAGGGAUGGUGUCCAGAGAGUCACGGUUGACAGAAUGCAGAGCAACAACUGUUUUCGUGCAGUAUUUCCAUGUGUAGAAGUCCUGGUUUCUCAAAACAUUUUCAUGAAUGAUGUCGCUUGUUCCUCACACUGAGUCUGUGAGCCGGGCACUCCCAUGCCCAGUGACAGAUGCGGAUGCCGAAGGCCCAGAGGGUAGGUGGCCCCGACUCAGAGCGCAGGCAAGCAAAGCAGGCAGCCCGGCAGCCGGGGCUCUGGGCCGAGCUCCGCCCCCACCCACGGCCCGGGGGCCUCAGGCUCGGGCCCUGAGGACAGUCACGCUGACUCGCGUACAGUAUUUUGCUCCACAUGAAAACCUAGUGUAGCCCUUUAGUUUGCUGUGACCUUGCAAAAUAUACCGAGGAUCAGGCCUAAUACAUGCACAGCCUCUAGUAACCAUGUUUUUAGAAUUUUCCCAGGUAUGGAUGCUGCCCUGUGGCUCUGACAGAUCUCUUCACUCAUGCAUGCCCUUCGCUGUGCCGUGGUGGGUGGGCCUCAAGCUAGGGCACACGGGAACCCCUGGGGAAGCCUUUAAAGUCCUACUAAACCCGGGCUGUACCCAGGACCGUGGGAUCAGAAUGCACUGAACCUGGGUGGUUCAGUCAGUGCAGUAUCCGACUCUUGGUUUCAGCUCUGGACAUGAUCUCAUGGGUCAUGGGAUUGAGCCCUGAGUCUGGAUCCGUGCUCAGUGGAGGUAUGCUUGGAUAUUCUCUCCCUCUGCUCCUUCCCCCACUCAUGCAUGUGUGGACUCUCUCUUUCUGUUUAUCAAACACAUAAAUAAAAUCUCAAAAAAAAAAAAAAAA